rnacentral:hammerhead_ribozyme from 1 species
AUCCAGCGGAUGAGUCCGCAACAGGACGAAACGUGCGUCCUGGAU